GACGAACCGUGCGAACGUUGUUCGGAAUCACUGGGCUUAAAGGGCGCGUAGGCGGCUUGCCAAGUCAGUGGUGAAAUCCUGCAGCUUAACUGCAGAAGUGCCUUUGAUACUGGCGAGCUCGAGGGAGGUAGGGGUAUGUGGAACUUCUGGUGGAGCGGUGAAAUGCGUUGAUAUCAGAAGGAACGCCGGUGGCGAAAGCGGCGUUCUGGACUGCAACUGACACUGAGGAACGAAAGCCAGGGGAGCAAACGGG
rnacentral:rRNA from 1 species